UCAAAUGAUCAUGCUAACUGGUGCUUCUGAGACACUAAUUAAGAAAACAAAAAGAGAAAAUUUUAUACUGGAAAGAACAUUUUAAAAAUUUGGCUACACAAUUUUCAAGAUACUUUUACUAUCUUUGAUUUCCUAAACAAGAAAUCAAAUGCAACACAGGUGCUGCGUAAGUAGUGUUGUUUUAUAAAAAGCCGAUUUGCUUUUACCCAAAACACCAGAAAUCAAAGAUUCCCUCCAUCUAAGACAAGCACUGUGUUCAUAAUUUGAAAUGGAAAAGGAUUAUCUUCACCUCAUAGGGUGUGGUAAUCUUGGAUCCACAAGUAUUGACUGCAAU
rnacentral:lncRNA from 1 species